AUCUUUGCGCAGUGGCAGUAUCGUAGCCUAUGAGGUUUAUCCGAGGCGCGAUUAUUGCUAGUUGAAAACUUUACCCAAUACUCCGCCUUGACGACUUGAAAUAUAGUCGGCAAUGGCAAUUUUUGACGGUCUCUAAGGAGA
ensembl:snRNA U4 U4 spliceosomal RNA